GUAGUACUCCCCCCGUUCGAAAUUACUUGUCACAAAAAUGGAUGUAUCUACAACUAAAAUACAUCUAGAUACAUUCAUUUCUUGGACGAGUAAUUCCGAACGGAGGGAGUAUGUA
rfam:Triticum aestivum genome assembly, contig: Triticum_aestivum_CS42_TGACv1_scaffold_159209_2DL